UACGUAGGGUGCGAGCGUUAAUCGGAAUUACUGGGCGUAAAGCGUGCGCAGGCGGUUUUGUAAGUCUGUCGUGAAAUCCCCGGGCUCAACCUGGGAAUGGCGAUGGAGACUGCAAGGCUAGAAUCUGGCAGAGGGGGGGUAGAAUUCCACGUGUAGCAGUGAAAUGCGUAGAUAUGUGGAGGAACACCGAUGGCGAAGGCAGCCCCCUGGGCUAAGAUUGACGCUCAUGCACGAAAGCGUGGGGGAGCAAACAGG
rnacentral:rRNA from 1 species